CACGCUGUAAACGAUGAUCACUAGAUGUCGGUUUCGCAUUGCGAGAUCGGUGUCGCAGCUAACGCGUUAAGUGAUCCGCCUGGGAACUACGAUCGCAAGAUUAAAACUCAAAGGAAUUGACGGGGGUCCGCACAAGCGGUGGAACAUGUGGUUUAAUUCGAUAUUACGCGAGGAACCUUACCUGGGCUUGACAUGUUUUUGACAGCUGUGGAAACACAGUCUUCCGAGCUUGCUCGGACAGAAUCACAGGUGC
rnacentral:rRNA from 1 species